rnacentral:rRNA from 1 species
CAGGACGAACGCUGGCGGCGUGCUUAACACAUGCAAGUCGAGCGAUGAAGCUUCUUCGGAAGUGGAUUAGCGGCGGACGGGUGAGUAACACGUGGGUAACCUGCCUCAUAGAGGGGAAUAGCCUUCCGAAAGGAAGAUUAAUACCGCAUAAGAUUGUAAUAUUGCAUGAUAUAGCAAUUAAAGGAGUAAUCCGCUAUGAGAUGGACCCGCGUCGCAUUAGCUAGUUGGUGAGGUAACGGCUCACCAAGGCGACGAUGCGUAGCCGACCUGAGAGGGUGAUCGGCCACAUUGGGACUGAGACACGGCCCAGACUCCUACGGGAGGCAGCAGUGGGGAAUAUUGCACAAUGGGGGAAACCCUGAUGCAGCCAACGCCGCGUGAGUGAUGACGGUCUUCGGAUUGUAAAGCUCUGUCUUCAGGGACGAUAAUGACGGUACCUGAGGAGGAAGCCACGGCUAACUACGUGCCAGCAGCCGC